rnacentral:rRNA from 1 species
UACGAAGGGUCCAAGCGUUGUUCGGAAUCAUUGGGCGUAAAGCGCGCGCAGGCGGAUCAGCAAGUCAGAUGUGAAAAUCUCGAACUCAACUUCGAAACUGCGUCUGAAACUGCUAGUCUAGAGUGUCGGGAGGGGGCAGGGGGAAUUUCAACGUGUAGGGGUAAAAUCCGUAGAUAUCUGGAGGAACACCGGUGGCGAAGGCGGCAU